UACUACAGCCAUACCACCCUCAAUGCAGCGGAUCUAGUGUGAUCUCAGAAGCUAAGCAGGGUCGGGCCUGGUUAGUACUUGGUUGGGAGACCACCUAGGAAUACCAGGUGCUGUAGGCG
rnacentral:rRNA from 1 species